GCUGGAGUCAGAAGUUUUAGGCGAAUCCCAGGCGCGCCAAGGAAAGUGCUACAAAAGCCAUCCAUCUUGCAAGCGUUGGUGCCGAGGCGCAACGCUGAGAACGCAAAUACUAAAGGGCGCUGUUCUUUCCUCGUGGAGCUCACAGUCCGCUGGGGAGACCGUGAGAUGACAGCAGAGAAACUAGCGCGAUCAGUAGUACUCAGCGCAAGGACAGCGAGCAGAGAAGGCAAACCUAGUGCUUGCUAAGGAAGACUUCACAGAGGAGGUAGUGUCAGGGCCGAGACUAGGAGAAGGAUUUCACACCUUAAAAAAAAAAGGAGGGGUUAUUCCUGCUUUUGCCGUGCUGUGAUCCAGGGCAGAGUUUCUCGUCAACCAGUAAAACAUCCAGUAACACAGCCAAUGGAAAUAAAUGAAUGGGUCUCUGUUUAUAGUGAAGAUUCUUUCGUUC
rnacentral:lncRNA from 1 species